CUACGGAGGGUGCAAGCGUUACUCGGGAUCACUGGGCGUAAAGCGCGCGCAGGCGGCUUGAUAAGUUGGAUGUGAAAGCCUACGGCUCAACCGUAGAACUGCAUCCAAAACUGUCAAGCUAGAGUCUGGGAGGGGAAGAUGGAAUUAGUUGUGUAGGGGUAAAAUCCGUAGAGAUAACUAGGAAUACCAAAAGCGAAGGCGAUCUUCUGGAACAGUACUGACGCUGAGGCGCGAAAGCGUGGGGAGCAAACAGGAUUAGAAACCCUAGUAGUCC
rnacentral:rRNA from 1 species